GUCGAUAAAAGGUGUGGGUUGUCUCCCACGAAAGCCCUUGUUUAAGGUCAAUAAAAGGUGUGGGUUGCCUCCCUAGGUUUUAAGGAGGAGUUUUAAGGGGAGGAUAUCUCUUCUUUUUGAUAUUCUUCCUAUCCUUUAAUUUCCCAAAUUUUUUGUUGCUCUUGGCAGAGUUCAUAUCAAAAUCCAUGACAUAUGUCCCCACAUUUUUCCCAACAGCGACACCAAAAACUUACACUUUCAAAAAUGCACCUGUUUUUUGUCGAUUAAUACUUGUUGAUUCAUUAUAAAAACGAUGAAAUAGAUCAGAAAAUAUAUUUACAUAAAAUUAGGGUUCGAGACUUGGUUUGAUAGGGAUUAGCUCAUUAGACUCAUAUAACAAUCCCAAGACAAAGAAGUCUACUCACACAUGUUAAUUGUAAACAUAGAAGAUAAGAAGAAGAAGAACAUUAAAGAGAAUAAAUAAAAAAAUGAGAACUUUUAUUCAAAGAAACAAUUGUCACUUAUUAAUUUACAAGAACAAAAGAUGAUUGAAUAUGUUUUCUAGCUGCUUUAUUUAUAGUCUAAAACUACUUAAGCCCCAAGAAUUACAUCAAUAGAAUGUUCCAUAAGAAACCAUGGGCUUUAGGUCAGAAAUAAACUAAACAGACAGCUUGUCGAAGAAGCAAAAGCAGCAAAAGAAAGUCUGUGGUGGUGGCACGGCCCGUGGAGACACGGGCCGUGCCAAGCCUUCUGGUUGGUUGGCUUCAUAUUUUUGCAUCAAAUUUUCUUAUUUUUGGCCCGAAUCAGCUCUAAAUCUCAUUUCUUUUGCUCCAAGACUCAAUCUUUCAAAUAUUUGUUCCUGAAAUUAAAUAAGUUGCAAUUAAAGUAAAAUAGUUCUAAAAUAAAAAAUAAAAAAUCACAUAAAAUCUAAAUAAAACAGACUCAAAUAAUAUAUAAAAAACACUAAUUAAUGAUUCAUCAUUUCUAUGUUGGCUCGAUCAAUUAAGCCUUAUCACCCAUUUCAUCCAAAAAAAAAAAAAAAAACUAUGUCAUUCUCAUGAUUAAACUUUUUAUAUAGCCUCAUAUUUCCUCCAACUACCUUCACAUUAAGGAUAUAUUAGGCUUUGAAUUCUCAUAAAUAAAUAAAA
rnacentral:lncRNA from 1 species